rnacentral:rRNA from 1 species
UACGUAGGGUGCGAGCGUUGUCCGGAAUUAUUGGGCGUAAAGGGCUCGUAGGCGGUUUGUCGCGUCGGGAGUGAAAACCAGGUGCUUAACACCUGGCUUGCUUUCGAUACGGGCAGACUAGAGGUAUUCAGGGGAGAACGGAAUUCCUGGUGUAGCGGUGAAAUGCGCAGAUAUCAGGAAGAACACCGGUGGCGAAGGCGGCUCGCUGGGCCAGAUCCGACACUCAUCCGCGAAAGCGUGGGGAGCAAACAGG